UGUGGCUCCCCACGUGGCCUCUCUUGUGGAGACACCAGCUCUGCUCCCUGCUAGCAGAGGAAGACAGUCUGCAUUUCAUAGAUUAGUAAGGACCCUUUGCCCUUCUUUCCUAAUCAGUGGUCAGAAGUGAAAGUCACUGGCUCUUAGUGAUUCAACUUGAGAGCUGGCUUGGCCAGUGGUCCAGGGAAGAGGGUUUAACCACACACCUAAAUGAAUGGGUUUGAUCAAUAAUUAAAUGAGCUGUUUCUGGCAUGAUUGUGAUGGUGAAGCCAUGGUCACGCCGCCCGGUGAAGGAGGCAGUUAGGAGCGGUUUUGCUUGUUCAUGCUGGGUUCAAAAGGGCUUCAGGGAGUCAGAAACUGAGCCAGACAGAAUAAAAAUAAUUUUUAAAGAAGGAAACCAGCCCUACUGAGAGGUAAUGGUGAGAGACUAUAAAGUGUUGCUAAGGGUGGGUUUCUAAACCUCUUUCUCAUACUUGGGAGUUGCCAAACUUAUAAACUUGAGUCCACCUCCCACAAAAGAGACUGAAACUGCCAGGCUCUUGCCUCCUGGCCCUUCCUGGCAUUUAUGGGACCUGAUGGAGACUCUAUCCUUGUGUGCACUAACUUCAGACUCCACUAGAAGUUAAAGACCCAAGAAACAGGCAUCACCAAGAAUCCACCUGCCAAUAGGCAGGACAACAACACUGAGUUUCUAGAAGCAUCUGGGGCAGCAGUCCAAGAAACCUCACAAGCAUACAGGGUUUCAGUCACUUUGAACAAAUCUCUUAGCCUCUCCAAGCCAUAAGUGCUUAAACUGAAAAUGUUAUUUAGUGGAUAAAUCUUUUGCGACCCUGUGGACUGUAACCCGCCAGGCUCCUUUGUCCAUGGAAUUUCCCUGGCAAGAAUACUGGACACUUUUUGAAUCGGAGGCAAAACACCCCAACGGACAAAGGGAGCAACUGGAUGGAAUACGCUCCUGGCGAAGCUCCUACAGAGGAUUAGAGGGAAGAACACCUCGCUCUGGGUUCUGGGGAUGGUGCAGGCAUCGAGGCUCCUCGGUCCAUGGGAUUUCCCAGGCAAGAAUACUGGAGUGGGUCGCCACUUCCUUCUCCAGGGGAUCUUCCUGACCCAGGGAUGGAACACGAGUCUCUUUCCUCUCCUGCGCCACCUGGGAAGCCCUCUUGGUCAAUAUACUCCAUGUUAUUUGAUGCCUGAUCUUUCAAGGGAAUGAGAAAUAAAGUUUACUUCUUCAUUCUGGCCCUGUCUUCUCUUAGACAUCCUCUUUUACUUAUUUACUAACUCCAUAAUUACUGAGUUCCCAUGAAGGGGCCAAGCUCUGUGUUGGGUCCUGGGGACACGAAGGAAGAGAUGACAUUUUUUUCUGAACUCAGGAAGUUCACUUUCUUGGAUGGGAGGUGGGGAGGGCGUCAGACAUGUAAACAAAAUGCAACACAAUGUAAUAAGCGGAUAUAAUAGAUACACAAAGAAUCCUGGGGGGAGAGAGAGAGGGAUAUAUAUAUGCAUUCAUACAUGAUAUCCGAUGGCAUUAUUAGCUAAAAGAUUCCUGGAACUUUCAGCUACUUUGGCCAAUAAAUCUUUUUGUGUAAGCUAGUUUGCUCCCAGUUUUAGGCAUUUCCAAUAAUACAGGAAUCACAGGAGGGCUGGGUGCACCAGAGAGUAUGUUACAUGCAAUGCCGUGAAAGAACAAGGCCUGUCUUUGGAAUAUUGAGUUAAUUGAUACAACUGCACUUUCAUCAUAUGGUCCAGAUGAUUCUAAACAUGCACAAGAACCCCUGCUUUAAAGAGUACCCAUCUAUUGGUAUCUGACAAAUCCCAAUUUUGAUCCUUCAUUGAAGCAGAUUUUUUCAAAAACUUUAUACAGUUACUCAUCACACUCACCCUAUGGAAAUAAGCUUAAGAAAAUUUAAUCCUAUAUCCUUGGCUUUCAAUACCAAUAUGCUUCUUGAAAGGAAGACUAAACAAUAUAUCUAAGUAUUCUUUCUAAAAUAAGGGAAAGGAAUCUUUCUUUAAACAAAUGAUGGCACCUGGUUGGGAUAAUG
ensembl:lncRNA